GUGUGUAAUCACUAAAGGGAGAAUUGAAAAUAGUUUCAAUUCACAAUCGAUGUAAAAUGGUUUUAAUCACCCACUACCUCGCUAAAAGGAACCUAAUGGAUCGCACACCAUAAAAGGUGGAGAUUGAAGAUUAAACUGAAAUGAGUAAGAAUGAUUAAAUGGUUUAAUCAUUUAUUUAUGGCAAGGAUUAAUUAAUAUGUUAAUUAAUCAAACGAAUAAGUUCGUUAAAGACCUCGGGAUAGUUUUGGACCUUAAGGCCCAAUGGGCUUCGAACGUCAAGCCCAUUGACUUAAGUUGUAUGACAACUUAAUGAAUAAAGAUUCACAAAGGCCCAAAAGCCCAAAAAUCCCAAGGUAGGCCGGCCAUGUAUGAUGAAUUAGGGUUUUGGUUCUUUAGGUCACUUAUUUGAAGGGACUAUAAAAAGGACUUUAUAGCCAUAUAUUCAUUAAGUGAUUAAGGGUUUAUUUUGGGGAAAAUGGGUGAGAAUUGUCUCUCCAUUUUCUCUCUAAAGAGGCCAACACCUUGGAGGGUACAUCUAGCAAUCCUACUACUCCAAGGUCACUCAUUUCUUCUACAAUCAAACCUUGGUGAAGAGACUUAGAGGUUCCCUAUUUUUGGGAACUUGGAGAAACCUAUUUUUCCAUCCAAAUCCAUGGAUCUAAGAAGCAAGGAAUGAAGGCCCUAUCUCUUUGGGUGAUUAGCCUUUGCUUAUGCAAAGAGGAAUCUACAAAGGUAAUAAUUUCAACUCACUUUGUUUUGAGUUGAUUAUUGGUUCACCAAUCUACUAGGCUUUGAAUUUCAUGGUAAUGUUUUGUUUUUGAGUGCAUGCAAGCAUGAUUCCGCCUUUAAUUGUUAAUUGCAUGCUAUAUGAUGUUGCUCAAAUGAACAUGUUUUUCAAAAUAAAUCCUUCAAGUGGUAUCAGAGCCUAGGUCUAGUAGUUGGUGAAUCCUUUUGGGUUUUGUAGUUCACAAGUUUAUGAUUUAAAAGUUGUAAUUGUUACAAGCUUUAUUCUUGCUUCUUUGAAUGUAAAUUUUGUUUGAAAAUUUGCCAUCUCAAAUGUUGUAGAUGUAGUUCAUAUGAGGAUGAAUAUUGGAGCUAAAAUUUGGUGCCAUGAUUUGGGGAUUUUCGGCCAAAUCCAAAGGGUGAUUUUUUGGGUUCAUGUUUGUCUUGUUAAAAAUGUUUUAAGGUGACUUUUGGAACCCCUAAGUACCCUAGGAUGUUAGCAUCAUUUUGAAUGAUGAAAAUUUGAGUUUUUUGGCUUGAAAACAUUCAUGGAGCUCUUAUGGGUUUUCAUGGAUGUUCUUCAUUGUUCUUGAUGUUCUUGCCAAGAACAAAAAGGUUUUGUGUUUUGAUUCAAAGUUUUGAUUAUUUCAUAAAGUUUAUGUUAUAUGUUUUUUCAAAUGAUUUAUCAUGUAUUUAAAAUGUUAGAUAUUUGAUUAAAUAGCAAUAGAAAAAUCUAUCAUCAUUAUGAAAGGUAAAAGAAAAGGUGAUAAGAAUUUUCUUUCUUAUGCACUACUUGAUUGUUUUUUUGACAAAACUAAUAAAUCAAAACACCACCACUCCUUUUAUCCCUAAAAACCGGCCACCCUAAUAAAAUAGGGUAUUUUUGGGGCUUUUAUGCAAUUACAUAAAGUUUUUGAUACUUUUGUGUAUUUGUACUUUGACCCGAAAGUUUACGUUUUGACGUUAAGGCCUAAAAACGCUAAAGGACAAAUUGUUUUUGCUCCUUUAAUGAAGUUUUUGAAUUUAUUUAAAUUUUGGGUUCUAGUUGUAUUUACAUGAAGUAGUGACUUUUGUGUUUUUACAAAGUGACCCCAAAAGUUUAUGUUUUCGCAAUAUGGCCCAAAAGGUUGUGGUUAUUGCAUGAUGGCCCAAAUAGGAUGAGAACAAAAUUGUUUUGUUUCUUUUAAAUGAGAAUUGGAUUUUCAUUUUGUUUUAGCUCCACUUAAAUCAAUUUAUGGAUACAAAAAACCAAAUGAAAAUGUUGCAUUCAAUUAAUUAGUUAAAGCGUUAAUUAAUUAAAGGAUGAUUAUGAACCUAAGCCUAAAAUAAUUGAGCUAUGUGAAAGGCGUUUCAAAUUUGUUUGAACCAUGGGAAUGUGUAGAUUAGAUUUUGGUUGUAAUUUUUGAUUUGAUCAAAUGUUGUAAAAGGGCAUAAGUCCUUCUUUACUUUAAGGUAAUUUGUUUUAUGCAAAUGUUGUAAUGAGCAUAAGCUCAUCCUUUACUUUGAAGUAUUUCUUUCUUGCUUUAUAUGAUAUGCAUGAAAAUGAAGUAAUUCGGUCCAACGCCCCUAAGACAACACGCCUUAAUGUGAUUAAACGCGUAACUAAAAUCAAUCUCCAUCCCUAGACCGAGAUUCAACACAAGGCUCGUGUUGAAUCUAAACAAAGGUUCAUAGUCAUCCUAAGGCCCUAAGGCAACUAUAUAGUCCAUCAAAUGAAUGCAAACCUUAUGUUAGUAGUAACAUAUACUCUUGCUUUAAAAACCGUUUUAAAAGCAUAGUGGGAGUAUUAUGUACAACUAAAACAAUCAUAUGGACCAAUAGUUGUAAUAGGACCAAAAUUGUUUUAAUAGAGAUUAAAAUGUAUAUUGAUAUGUGAUGAGACCUAAAACCCUCAACCAAACCAAUAUUAAGUUGAAAGCGUGAGAGUGCUUUAGAACAUUCUUUCGUGGCCUUCCACCAUGGUAGUUCCAAUCGUUUAUGACUUGUACACCGGCUUCACCCUAUCAUGGGGAAGUACAAAGUGCAUGCUUAUACUCAGGAGGAGUUUAUAUACAUAUGAUGAGGUGAGUGUAGGCAACGAGGAUGGCCAAUAUCGUAUCAUCGUGAGGCUAUUCUUGAAACCCUUCAUGAACUAAGCAUGGUGGGAAUGACUUUAACUAAGUGCAAUGGAACCAAUAUCAUAUCAUUGUGAGGUGACAUUCUCUAGAGGCCAAAUAAGAUGGGUACUUGCAUUAGUUGCAAAUGAGUAAGCGUACUCUCUCAUUAUUAUUAAUGCUAGCCAAUAUCAUAUCAUUGUGAGGUGGGCUUGGUAGUAGUGAGCCUCCCAUAACCUACUAAGAGUUUCAUCCAAAACUCUCGAAUUCCAAUGAGGGAUAUGGAAUUUGCCAAAAAUAGUAGGUGAUGCUAUUUGAUUUAAAGACCCGAAUCAAAUGGCUUAAAAUCAAUCAAUUUAUAUACGUUAUGUAUUUGUUUACCAAUAUAUUUGCAAACGCUAUCCAACACUUGACAAAUAAAAGCCGAACGUUUAGUUUACGGACUUGGUACUACAAAACCAUAGAUUGUCUUUAAUGGCUUGUAAAUGUACCUAAGUAGUCUCAUCCUCACAAUCUUCCUAUUGAUAAUGUAUCAUUAGAAGAAUAUGUUAGAAAAGGUCUAUCAUAGAUAGGACAACACUUUUAAUGUCAUAAUUCUUCAAUUACAAAUUGUUGUAUGAAGAAAUAAGAGUUGCUUUGAACAACCCUUAGUCAAUACAAACACUUAGUGCUUAUUUCUUUGUUAAUUGAACAAAGAACUUGAGAAGUAAGCACAAGGGCAUGGACACUUUAUGUGCCAUGAUUCUUCACUUACAAAUUGUUGUAUGAAGAAAUGAGAGUUGCCUUGUACAACUCUUGAAAGUUUGUAAAUUAUGUUUUAGAACAUAAUGGUUGGUUGACAAAAAUAGUCCAUUAACAUGGACUUAUGAUGAUUUUGAAUCAUUGAGUGUUGAAGUGUUAAACCACUUAACGAGACGGAAACUAGGCAAGGACUUCACCUUUGUUUCCCUAUCCUAAUGGUUCACUAAGUUUAUGGUAAACUAUGUAGUGAACAAUAACCACAUACUCUCCAAAUUGUUUGAUGUGUAUAACACAAUUGAAAAAGGUUUCAAGAGAGAUAGUGGGAGUUUAGGGACCAUGACUAAUGUGUAGUCAAAGGUGAAAGUCAAAUAAAGAAGAUAAAUAACUCCAAGGGAACAAACUUUCUUUAUGAAAGGAUGGACAUUGGAAGGGGUAUUUGCAAGAAAUGUCUUGCAAGUGUCAAGAACACACCUUUCGAAGGUGUUGUAAAUUGUUCUUGAAUAGUUCAAAACAGUUGGUUUUCUUCUACUUGAAUGUAUGAUUCCGUAUUAGUAACUAUGUUUUACAAAUCGUUGUAAAAGUGUGACUAAUAAGAAGUAGAAGAUAUAUGAGAGAAGAAAAGGUGCUUCACAUACGGAACGUGAAUAAGAUAUAGAUCUCUGCGAAAGCAGAUAGUACUUACUUCCUCAUAUGAACUACCAAAGAAAUUGGAUUAUAGUAAUCUAAUUGAUUGUCUCUAUAGUAGAGAUGAUAUGGUAGUGUUAACUGUUUAGAAUAUAAUGAUGCUUAAAACCCAAAAGGUUGCAAGGUAGUGACUAAUCCCAACUAAAUUGUGAUACCUCUAAAACAUAAGUUACGAGUUGGUGAAACAAGGAUGCUUUGGAUCGUUAGAUCCGGAUCCAAUACCUUCUUGUUAAAAUUGUAUAGAGGCGAAAUGUUCGAAUCUUUAUUCUUUUGGAAAGAAGAAAGAAUCACAAAGUUGUUGAGGUUAAUUCACUUAGAUGUUAGUGGCACUUGUCACAACAUAAUACUACUCAUGUUAUAUGACAUUCACCGAAGAUCACUCUCGGUUGGACUAUAGUUUAUUUUGAAUAAACACAAGUCUGAAUACUUUGCAAAAGGUUUCAAAGAAUUCAAGAAAUGUAAAUAGAUGAGUAAGAUAUCUAAAGUAUUUACCUCCUUAGAUUUGAUCCAAGGAAAGGUAACACUUUAGAUGAGUUUCCUUGAAAGAUAUCAAGGAAAAUAGCAUCAUAAGAUAAUGUAUUUCUCCAUUAGGAGAAAGAACGAACUCAAAUAAGAUUUAGUUCGUUAGAUGUUAUCUAUUACCCAUAUAUAUAGGAUAUAUACUUCUAAAACAAUAAGAUUGUCAAUUAGAAGAUCUUCCAAAAUUUUCAUAACUCCAUAAGAUGUAGUUAGAAAGAAAGACAAAUCUUAAGCAUGUUAAAGAUUUGAGGUUGUGUGCUAAUAAGCAAUAUUUGUUUGAUAACAAUCUUGUGGGAUAUCCUUAAAUUAACUUUUGGAUAUCGCUUCUAUAAACCAACUAACAAAUGUUGUUUUGUUGGGUAGUUCAUUGUAAUCCUACAAUGUGAUUUGCCUAAGAGCAAAUGAACGAGAGAUAGAACUCAAAGAAUGGGUUCUUUGAGAGACAAGAAAGUAAUCAACAAAUAUAACAACCUAGUUCCUAUACCAAAGCUCCAAGGUAGUCGAGAAGGAUUUAUAAACCGUCUCAGUUGAAUGGUUUGAACUUUAUGACUAUGUCAUAGAGUUGCACCUCUUAAUUCGAAAGAAAUAAGAAUGAAAAUCCUUAUGACUACAUUGAGUGUAUAUAUGAUAUAUACUCAAGGAAAUGGUAAAGUACCAUUUGACCCGAAAUAAUGAAACCUUCAUAAGCUAAUUGGUAGCUUAAGGUGACUACAAUCAAAGAGAAUGGUUGACUUUGAAGAAACCAUCUUUGAGAUAGUCUUAGUUUCAAUUAAUUCGAAGAUUGCUAGCUACAACUAAAUGGUGAUUCAAUGUUUGGACAUAAUAUGGGUUUCCGAAACCAUUAUUAAGAUAGUCUUGAUAAUAUAUGUCUAAAACUAAAAAUCACAAGACAUGUAAGUUGUAGAGAUCCAUCCAUCAUGAAUCUUAGCAAGCUAGUGGGAGCUAUAUGCGUCUUAUGAGAGAAAGAUCAAAUCGUUUGAUUUCUCAUAAAGAUAUAAAUGAAUCUUUUGUUUACUAGGUUUACAAAAGAUUAGUGGGAGUUAAUCAUGUUCCUAAAAUUAAAAUAUAUAUGAUAUAUUAAUUUUGGAAAUGAAAAGAAUACUUCUUCGUUAAUGUUAUGACUUUAAGCAUUCUAUAAAGAUAGAAUGUAUAUGGGAAACAUAGUCUGUAUACAUGGGAUGGAAAUCUAUAUUGAUAGAUUUUAGGAUAUAAUUGGAUUAUAUCAUACCCUAAUAAUAGACAAAAUAUGCUAGGAAGUCUUUCAUAUGAUGAUAAACUUCAAUUAGGAGGACAAUUCUAGUUGGACUAAGAAGUUGCUCUUCUCAAAGAGAACGUACUCUUUGACUCCCAAAGAAAUAAUGCGUAAAUAGAAUCCUUUAUACAUACGCAGAAAGGUGAUUUAUGUAUUUCAUAUUGUAUGAAAAACAUUGAUAUGAGUUGUACCUAGAACGGUACAAGACGAUAUCAGUGCAAGCCCCGGAUCAGAACCAUGGCAACUGUCAAGUGAGUCCUUAAGUAUUUAAGAAAUACUAAAGGAUAUAUUCCUCAAAGAAUGUUGAAGAAUUAGAGUAACGUAAUGGAAGUGUAAAUGUAUUAGAUCAUAGGAUUGUCAAUUGGGCAUUGACAGUCCGUAAAGAUCGGUACGUACUAUGUCUUCUCUCAGGGAGAGUGAUUAGUCUCGAGUCAUUGGUGUGUGUGACAUCAAGACAAGUACGUAGGUGCUCAAUAGAGAAUGAGUACACUGAACGUGAUCAACGAAGAGUUCUUAUAUUCCAUGUCACAUGAGAACUCAUGGUUGGGAUAAUGCAAAGUAGUCAUUUGACCUGAGGCAUCACAGUUGUCUUGUGGUUAAGUCCUUGAUCUUUGAUUAUGUCAAAGUCACCCUCUCGGGGUGUCCACGGCAUCGUUGGGAUUAAGCCACUUAGCUAUGGAGACAAGUGAAUGCGCAACAAGGGAUCUCUAACCUUCAAACAGUUGAGGGAGAAUACUCUAUGAUAUGAUUUGGAAUCUCUGGCCAGAGUAUGAAUGAGAUUAGGGAAUGCGUUCCAAAUCACAUUCAAGGAAAUCAUAUAAGCACACGAAUCACAUUGGAUAGUAGACAUGAAUAAAUAAACUAUCAUACCAAACAAUGUGGUCAAGAGUAUUAGAUUAGAGAAGGACCGUAUUGCAUUUGUAAUCCCAAACUGAAUAGGUUCUCUAUCCUCUUCUGAUUAGCUUGGGUAACCAUGAUAUGCUGCUAGGUGUCACUCAUGGUUUGUGGAAGCCCUAAACGUGUGUAAUCACUAAAGGGAGAAUUGAAAAUAGUUUCAAUUCACAAUCGAUGUAAAAUGGUUUUAAUCGCCCACUACCUCGCUAAAAGGAACCUAAUGGAUCGCACACCAUAAAAGGUGGAGAUUGAAGAUUAAACUGAAAUGAGUAAGAAUGAUUAAAUGGUUUAAUCAUUUAUUUAUGGCAAGGAUUAAUUAAUAUGUUAAUUAAUCA
rnacentral:lncRNA from 1 species